AUUGAACGCUGGCGGCAGGCCUAACACAUGCAAGUCGAACGAGUGGCGGACGGGUGAGUAAUGUCUGGGAAACUGCCUGAUGGAGGGGGAUAACUACUGGAAACAGGUGCUAAUACCGCAUAUUGAUGGAUGGACCCGCGGUGCAUUAGCUAGUUGGUGAGGUAACGGCUCACCAAGGCGACGAUCCCUAGCUGGUCUGAGAGGAUGACCAGCCACACUGGAACUGAGACACGGUCCAGACUCCUACGGGAGGCAGCAGUGGGGAAUAUUGCACAAUGGGCGCAAGCCUGAUGCAGCCAUGCCGCGUGUAUGAAGAAGGCCUUCGGGUUGUAAAGUACUUUCAGCGGGGAGGCGUUACCCGCAGAAGAAGCACCGGCUAACUCCGUGCCAGCCGCCGCGGUAAUUC
rnacentral:rRNA from 1 species